rnacentral:rRNA from 1 species
GAUGAACGCUGGCGGCGUGCUUAACACAUGCAAGUCGAACGGAAAGGCCCAAGCUUGCUUGGGUACUCGAGUGGCGAACGGGUGAGUAACACGUGGGUGACCUGCCCUGCACUUUGGGAUAAGCCUGGGAAACUGGGUCUAAUACCGGAUAGGACCACAUUUUGGAUGGUGUGGUGGAAAGCUUUUCGGUGUGGGAUGAGCUCGCGGCCUAUCAGCUUGUUGGUGGGGUGAUGGGUUACCAAGGCGUCGACGGGUAGUCGGCCUGAGAGGGUGUACGGCGACAUUGGGACUGAGGUGAGGCACCGGUGCGUAAUGGUGGAAACUGGGGGGAAUCUUGAACCAUGGGCGCAGGCCGGGUGCAGCGGGGCCGCGGGGGGGAAGACGGUCUUCGGGUUGUAAAAAAGUUGCGCUAGGGACGAAGCGUUAUGUGACGGUACCUGGAGAAGAAGCACCGGCUAACUACGUG